AACAAAUCUACAGUCUAGAGAUAUGCCGCCAUAUGGGGAGAACUGCUUGGUGCCAGGGAAAAGAUAGAAAGCUCAAGUGCGGGAGUCUAACACAGAAGACACCUUAGUCAAAUAGGUUUGUGAUGCUGUUACAGAAGCCUUCUCCAAAGGUUACAGAAGUUCUGACCCAGAUCCCCAAAUAGUGGCACUGCAGCCUCUUUCUGUGGACCCACCACCCAUAAAGGGCAGCAGGUAGUAGAUACAAUUUAGAGAAGAAUCUUGGGCACGGAGGGGCCAAAAACAGCUUCAGCAAGUAGGAAGAGAAGCAGAGCACAUGGGAAAGCGAGCAGAGGUCACAGAAAAACAGAAGCUGGCACAAGAUCCCAACCUGCAGCUGAAUACAUGUGGGUGGAACCUGGCAACCAUGCAUCUCUGUCGUCUUUAAUGGGAGUCCACACCGCUUUAAGAAUGGAUCAGAUGUCAACAUCAGCCACAGACUGUCAAUUGUAACACUUCUAGGAGGUUUUGAUGGCUUCCAGCCCAACUACCAGAAAAUGAUGAAGUUUGCAGGGGACAAUGACUAUGCUUGGAAGUCCCUCUGAAGGUGGAGUGAGAAGGUAGUCUGAGUCCCUGAAGACUCAGGAGAUGAAGAAGAAGAAGCGUUGUUCACUUGGAAGUUUGAGACUGUAAACUAAAAGUGGCUAAUCCCUCAAGAACCGAACCCUGCAUGAUUCACACAUCACGCUUUUUUUCAUUACAAUUCUGCU
rnacentral:lncRNA from 1 species